ensembl:lncRNA
CCCCGGGCUCCAUCCCUGCUUUGCUCUGCAGCAGCAGCCCCUGCUCCCCUCCUUCCCUCUUCCCUCACUCUCUGCCCUAAUCCCAUGACCCCACGCCUGCGAGGGGAAUGCAGAGACUUGCGAUAAAACCCUCGUUUGCCAAAGCUGCAAAAUCAGACAGGAAUUCGGUCCAAAAGGGGAAGGAAAAAAAAAAAAAAAGCAAAGCAAAACACAACGAAACAAAACAGAAAGAGGAGAGAGAGAGAGAGAGAGAGAGGGGAGGGAGGAAAGAGCAAAGAGCAAAGCUGCAGCCCGGGGCUGGUGGGGGAUUUCCCCAAAGAAGGAGCCCUGGGAACUCCCUUCCUUCGAGGGACAGCACUUCCAAGAACCCCGCUGAGCAGCUCCGGUGUGGGGUUUGGGGAACGUUCCCUCUGGAGACCUCCGAUGCGGCACAGCGAUUAAUGCCCGAGUCUGAGCGUCGUCGUUAACGAUUUAUUCCCAGGGCAACCCAAUAAACUAAACACACAAAAUCGGGGCUGCUGGGAGCCCUGGGAUCUCCCGGCACCGUCUCUGGAGGCUCCGGAUGCCUUCACCUGAACCCGCAGCCACACGCACCGCCCGCAGCUGCGUGCUACGGGUGCUCCGGGGGGGCGGCAUUGCGGGGUUGGGGGCUGCGGGGCGGGCACCGCCGCGGGGCAUCGGGUGCUCCAACACAGCCCGCGCCAUCACCGAGCGCUGCCCCUCGGCCGCCACGUCCCUUCGGCCCCCCGCGGACCUCAACCGUGGGGUCGGGAGAGGCCCCGCUCCGUGACGACGUGGCUCCGGGGGUCCCCACAGCCGCGUCCCCGUGGGGUUUUUCACCCACGCAGCGCUGUGAUCGCCGGAGGGGCGGCCGAGCGGCCCGGGGAGAACAAUGGCGCGGCCCGGCCCGGCCCUCUCCCGGGGACAAUGGCACAGCGGAGCCUGAGCUCAUCUCCCCCCGAGAGCCCGCGGGGCCGGGCCGGGCGGGGGGCGCGGGGCUGUGCCACAAAGGCUCUCCCUCUGCCCGAGGGGCCCCCGCUCCCAGCCGGCACUGAACGGCCCCGACAGCCGCGGGGUUCCGACAUCCCCCGGGGCUCCGUGCGCUGCUGCCUCGAGGGGACGGGGGGUGCGCGGCCAUCUCCUCCCGCGGCCUCUUUGUGUCCCUCCGCGCGUUGCGGGGCAUUGUCUGCGGGCGGGAGCCCGGCGGGGGCAGCGCGGGGUCAGGCGGAAGCCCGCGGUCCCGGCGCG